UUGACUGUUUGGGGCCCGUUUUUGGACUCUGCUCGAAUUCAGUUCAGUUGAGUUGUGUCGAGUCGCGGUUGAUGCAUACGAACGGAAGUGCAGUGAAAACCGGAACACGGAAGUUCAAACAAUACUCACUUUUAUAUUGUUAAAAAAAAAGAAAGGAAUAAGUAUCGAAGCAAGAAAAUAAAAUAAAAAUUGUGUUCACAUGCAAUAUUUGUUCAUUUGAUUGAAGUGUUUCGGUAAAUAAACAAAGCAAAGUACUGUGCAGUGUAUCGGAUGGAACGACAUGUACAUAAUUAGCCGAAAGUUUUGAGUGUUUAUGUUAAUGAUGCUUGUUGACCAGAAUGGCGUUGAAAGCUAAGGCGCUUACUGAGUGUGUGUUUGGUUAUGUUUGUCGUAGUGUUAUAAAAUUGUAUUAGCUGGAAAAAAUAUAUAGAGCAAUUUGACAAAUGCAAUUAAGUGCAUGUGGAAACGGAAUUGGAUAGCGUUAAAAUUUUUGAGAGAUUUGAAAAAAAACGCAACCACAUAAAAGAGUUUCUAUUGGCAUAGAACGAAGCUGAGUGGGGUCAACGAAUUGGAGAAAAGCUAGCGGAGACGCGAAUGUGCAAAGCAGCAUGAAGUGAAUUGGAAUUGAAUUGAAAAGUUUUAAUGUGUGCUGGUUUUGUUUUUUCCAACAUUUGGAUUUUCAACUCAGCUCAGUAAAAGUUGCGCUCACUGCGAACAACAACAACACGGCAUAAUAAGUAGAACAGAAGGGAAUUGUAUGGAGCAAAAUGCAA